rnacentral:rRNA from 1 species
GUUGUAUAGUCAAGUAAUUAAGUGCAUGUGGUGGAUGCCUUGGCAGUCAGAGGCGAUGAAAGACGUGAUAGCCUGCGAAAAGCUCCGGGGAGGCGGCAAAUAUCCUUUGAUCCGGAGAUGUCUGAAUGGGGGAACCCACCUACUUUAAGGUAGGUAUUGCAACAUGAAUACAUAGUGUUGCAAGGCGAACGAGGGGAAGUGAAACAUCUCAGUACCCUUAGGAAAAGAAAUCAAUUGAGAUUCCCUCAGUAGCGGCGAGCGAACGGGGAUCAGCCCAUUAAGUUAUGUGUGUUUUAGUGGAACGCUCUGGGAAGUGCGAACGUAGAGGGUGAUAUUCCCGUACACGAAAGGGCACACAUAAUGAUGACGAGUAGGGCGAGGCACGUGAAACCUUGUCUGAAUAUGGGGGGACCAUCCUCCAAGGCUAAAUACUCCUGACUGACCGAUAGUGAACCAGUACCGUGAGGGAAAGGCGAAAAGAACCCCUGUGAGGGGAGUG